rnacentral:misc_RNA from 1 species
CGCAACUUGCGCCCCUUGGUAUUCCGAGGGGCACACCUGUUUGAGUGUCGUGAAUUCCUCCACCUUCAACUUUUUUGUUGAAAGGCUGGGAUUUGGGGGAUCUUGCGGGCCCUACGGAUCCGCUCCCCUUGAAUGCAUGAGUGAGGACCCCCUUGUGGCCUUGGUGUGAUAGAUAUCUACGCCUUGGCGACGGGAAUAGGCCCUUGCUUCCAACCGUCCGCUCGCCGGACAAUCUCUCUUGAACUUGACCUCAAAUCAGGUGGGACUACCCGCUGAACUUAA